CUCACCACGGCUGCCUUUGCCCAGCUCUGCUUUCCUCUGCUUCCGGGUCAGGCCUGGCUUGGGGUUCCCUCCUACUUGGAGCUGCUUUGGCACAGCCCUCCAGGUCUGGAAGCUGGCCUAAAAAGCUGUCCAGCAUUGAAUGUAUCAGGAUCGUCAUUUUACUGUGAGAAACAGAGGCCCACGGAGUGAAGUGACAAUGCCAAGAUUGACAGAAAGAAAGGGGCCAAGGGUUUUCAGGAGCUAAAACGGACGCUUUUGCUGAAAUCUCCAAUUCAACAGAAGGGUAUCUCAAUGGAGUUUCUAAUCUCAAGAUCAAGACUUUCCAUCACUUUCAAUUUGCACCUCUGCUAGAAACUUCUACUCUAGAGAAAACCAACACAAGGAGCUAAAUAAUCUAAGACCCUGACCCUAUGAAAACCCUAUCAAGACUGAGGAAAUAGAACUGAAACAGUUGAACUAAGAAAGCAAAUUUAUUUCAAUGACAAGUAUUUUAAUAAAAGUAAGAGGCAUGGCUGGGUUCGUCUGCCAUUUUUCAUACAACCUGGAUUUAUU